UCAGGGGUAGGGGAGCGUUGUAUGCGGAUUGAAGUUGGACCGGAAGGACUGGUGGACUGCAUACAAGUGAGAAUGCCGGUAUGAGUAACGAAAAGAUCAGUGAGAAUCUGAUCCGCCGAAAGCCCAAGGUUUCCUGAGGAAGGUUCGUCCGCUCAGGGUAAGUCGGGACCUAAGGCGAGGCCGAAAGGCGUAGUCGAAGGACAACAGGUUGAAAUUCCUGUACCACCGUAAUCCGUUAGGAGUGAUGGGGUGACGCAGGAGGGUAGUGACGCGAGCUGAUGGAUGCUCGUCCAAGCAGUGAGGCUGAUGUGUAGGCAAAUCCGCACAUCGAAAGGCUGGGCUGUGAUGGGGAGGGAAAAUUUACAGUACCGAAGGUCAUGAUCUCACACUGCCAAGAAAAGCCUCUAACCAGGAGAAGGUGCCCGUACCGCAAACCGACACAGGUAGGCGAGAAGAGAAUUCUAAGGCGCGCGGAAGAACUCUCGUUAAGGAACUCGGCAAAAUGACCCCGUAACUUCGGGAGAAGGGGUGCCCCGGUAGUGUGAAUAGCACGAGGGGGCCGCAGUGAAAAGGCCCAAGCGACUGUUUAGCAAAAACACAGGUCUGUGCGAAGCCGCAAGGCGAAGUAUACGGGCUGACGCCUGCCCGGUGCUGGAAGGUUAAGGGGAGUGGUUAGGGGCAACCCGAAGCUAUGAACCGAAGCCCCAGUAAACGGCGGCCGUAACUAUAACGGUCCUAAGGUAGCGAAAUUCCUUGUCAGGUAAAUUCUGACCCGCACGAAUGGCGUAACGACUUGGGCGCUGUCUCAACGAGAGAUCCGGUGAAAUUUUAAUACCUGUGAAGAUGCAGGUUACCCGCGACAAGACGGAAAGACCCCAUGGAGCUUUACUGCAGCUUGAUAUUGGACUUUGAUACGAUUUGUACAGAAUAGGUGGGAGCCUAGGAAGCCGGAGCGCCAGCUUCGGUGGAGGCGCCGUUGGGAUACCACCCUGAUCGUGUCGGAGUUCUAACCUGGUACCGUGAUCCGGUACGGGGACAGUGUCAGGCGGGCAGUUUGACUGGGGCGGUCGCCUCCUAAAGAGUAACGGAGGCGCCCCAAGGUUCCCUCAGAAUGGUUGGAAAUCAUUCGAAGAGUGCAAAGGCAAAAGGGAGCUUGACUGCGAGACUGACAAGUCGAGCAGGGACGAAAGUCGGGCUUAGUGAUCCGGUGGUACCGCAUGGAAGGGCCAUCGCUCAACGGAUAAAAGCUACCCUGGGGAUAACAGGCUUAUCUCCCCCAAGAGUCCACAUCGACGGGGAGGUUUGGCACCUCGAUGUCGGCUCAUCGCAUCCUGGGGCUGAAGUAGGUCCCAAGGGUUGGGCUGUUCGCCCAUUAAAGCGGUACGCGAGCUGGGUUCAGAACGUCGUG
rnacentral:rRNA from 1 species